UUAAACUUACUGUUGAUAGUUUCCAUCUUUUCCCAUGCAUGCUUGUUAUAGUUUCCAUCUCUUCCCAUGGGAGCCUAUUAUCUUCUCAACCAUGUUAAAGAGGUUCUGAUAAAAGUGCUGUUGUUUUGUCGGGGAGAUAUUCUGGGGAGCUAUUCAGGUGUCUCAAACAAGUGCCAUGAACCUGAGUGAUUUGUUGCUCAAAGGUGGAAAAAUUGAAAAUCAUCAGUGCAGAAUGAAAAGGUAUACAUCUAACUGCAUCCCCUUUCAUGAGCAGCUGGUUUUAACAUAAAGGUUAAAGGCGGCAUACACAACUGUCACAACAACAGGAAACUGCAUCAACAUGAAUGUAAACAAGCCUUAAAUAGGCGGCAAGUGCCGGCCUUACACAAAAGCUGAAAAACAGCAAUACUGAGA